UUCUCCCAGUGUUUUCCCUGUUCCAAUACUCUAGAACCUUUUCUCAAUCACCAGUUGGCCUUUUGAUAUUUCUGCUCUGCUGUCAUAGCACCUGGUGUCUAAAUACUUAGAGUGUGGUUUAUGGAGUAUAACAGCCUGAAUGGAAAACGUCUGGCUUUCAGCAAGUCUUAAAACUAUCUAAGACUCACUUUUUCUUCUAUAAGGUACAGGAGAUAGAAAUUUAUUGGAUACCCUGCAAGGGAGCAGUGGAGAAGACAGCAGAGGAGAGGCUGUCUGCCUUAUUGAGACCAUUCAUAUUCCAGAACGAUAAAGAUGAAAAGUACAAUCUGAAAAAGGAUAGCAUAUCUACAGUGAUAUAUGCCUUUGUCGUUUUAACAAUAUGCCAGGAAGAGAACCUAAAGAAUCUUCUGAUAGAGAUACCUUCAAAGAGAAAGGACACUUUCAAGGAUAAAGAGAGGGACUUUCAAAGGAACUGGCUCAUUAGAUUACGGAAGCUGAGAAAUUCAAGAUGUACAGGUGACAAACUGAAGACCCAGUAAAGCCAAUGGUAUUGUUAUAGUGAAAGUCUGAGUUUGAAGGCAGAAGACAAAUGUUUCAGCUGGAAGAGAGACAGAAAUAAUUCUUUCUUACACUUUUAUUCCAUUCAGACCUUCAACAGAUUGGAUGAGGCCCACCCACAAUGGGGAGAACUAUCGGCUUUACGUAUGCAAAUUACUUAUACAAAUGGUAAUUACAUAUUCAAAUGGUAACCAUUCAAAUGUUAAUUCAAAUCAUUUAUUCAAAUGUUAAUCUCAUCCAGAAACACACUCACAGUCACACUGUUAGAUAAUGUUUAACCAAAUAUCUGGGUACUCCAUGACCCCAGUGAAGAUGACACAUACAAUUACCAUCACAGCUUAUAUUAACAUUAGACUCAUAUAAGCUGAAACACUUUUCUUGUUCUCAUUUUUAGCUUUUAACUGUAGUUACAUUGUCUUUUA